AGCAAACCCAAGCAGCUCUGCAGAAAUGUUGUUUAACUUUGAGCUGCUGAAGGGUGUCUGAUACUGUGGCAGACAAAUUAUGCUAAUCUGGCAUUCCAAAAGCAGUGCCCGUCAUGUGAUAAAUGAGCAGAUGUCUCUUGGAUGGGUUUCCUCCCUGUGUCACAGUAUCAUUAGGAUAGCUGCAUGCCAAGAACUGCACUUGGCUUUGUCUCCAUUUCAGGCUGGGGUGGGAAAGGCAUCAGAAGCUUUUUCCUGGGAAAAUUCAUGCAAAGACAGCCAAGCCUUGGGCAGGUGCAGCAGAAGGACAGAGAUGGGCAGGUGAGAUGUGUGCACACAUCUGUGCACGUGAACACACACACAGAAACCCCAGAGAGCCACAGGAGAUGUCAGCACACUUUAGACUUCCCUUGAAAAGAUGGGAGUAGCUGAAAAGCUGGGGAGGAAACCUGUGAUGGGGAGAUCAAAUGUGCCUGUAGGUGUCACUGUGAAACGUGGGCUGUUUUGGCAUGGAUGGGUGUAUGUAUCAAAAAGUGCUUUUCUUUUUUUUUCAUUUUUAACCAUGAAGUUGUUACUGACUCUUCUGUCUCUCCAUCAUUUUUUCUUUAAGUCUCAGGUCUUCUGCAUGUUUUCUUUUACCCACACUGAAUCCUGUGCUCUGAGGCUGUCAGAAGUCAGCAAAACAUCUGUGUGAUGUGUCAUUCCCUCUCGGCUGUGCAGGGAGGCUGCAAUCCCAUAACAACAUGGAGAUGGAGUGUCUUCAGGACCUGGCACUGUGCCCAGUGGGAUCCACUCCACCCUUUGCUGAGCAGGAAAAGGUUGUGACAGCCUGUCCUCCUGGGCCACAGCAACGAGGAUCUGUGGAGGGCCUGGCAAGUGGGUAAGCCUGUAGUGGUGACACAGGUCCAAUAACUGUGGUUGCUCUGGGGUGGUGACAGCAAGAGAAUUAUACAGCCAGUGGAUGACAAAUUAUUGUGGGAAAUCGAGACUGGAGCAAUUACAUCCCUCAUGAAUGUCGUCUUAUGUUCUGCUUCCCAAAAAGCCAAAGGAUCUCUUAGCAGAUAAAUGCAAUUUCCCCAGAAGUGUCCUGGGAUGACAGCUGCUGCUUUGUGACUCAAGUGGGUAUCAACACUUAGGGCCUAGGUGACUUGAAAAAUGAAUCACGUAGCACCACACAGGGGCAUGUUAAAUCCACUGCUCUGAACUCUCCUGUGCUUGCAUGGUAUAAAUUGGACAAAUUAACUUUUAAUUAAAAUACAGCCAAAUUAUCCAGUGUAUGCUAGUGUAAACUAGUGCCUCUUGGAGCACUGCAUGGUUGCAUUUGUUAAAAUUUAGAGCAGCUUUACAUCUGUGUGUGCUGCUGAUGUCCGUGUCUCUCCUGCAGAAGGACAAGUGGAUGCCAGUGACAGAUGCUCAUCAAAGACACUGAAGCUUUUAAUCAGAGUCCUUUUCCCUGACUGGCAGCUAGAACAGCUCUUCUGUGACAUUCUGGGGAGGAAGACUUCAGUGCCCCUCCUGUGGGGCCUGCACUUCCCAAAGAUCACAACACUGCUGAAAGCAACAGGUAAGUGCAAACGCCCAGCAGCGAUCUCAGCUGUGCUGGAGGUUCCUUCCCUACAGGCACAUGUCCCAAAAUGUCUUCAGAGGGGAUCCACAGGCUGCAGUGACCCACCCAUGAAGCCAUGGCAAGGUUUGAUCCCCUCGACUGAGUACUCCUACCCCUCCUUUCUGCAGCUCAGCCACACGGCUGGCACACAGGUGGGCUGACCCCCAAGCGACCAUUUUUUCUCUUGCACCUUCUCUAGGUGCUGCUGAAGAGAAAACUGCCUGCACCCUCCACCAGGCUGGCUGUGGUGGCAGCUGGCAAAGUGCUGGGACAAGUUACUCACCCUGUGCAGCACAGCGGGUGAUGCAGCAGACCGUGAUCGGCAAAUGGUGGUUUUCCUUACCCAGAACUUUACUCCUUGAGGGUAAAUGAAGGUUACCUGUUACUCUGUAGUUAGUUGGCAUUUCUGCUUUAAAAAAUAGGUGGGACUGUGUGCUGGGCCUGAGCAGUAGCCCUGGUGAUAGGCACAGUGGGGGGACACGAGUCAAGGUGGGGCAUGGAGAGCCCUGUUAAUGAGAAGGAGCAGAAAGCUUGGCUUGUUCCUCCCAGCAGCCAGAGAGGGGCAAAGCAAGCUCUGCAUCAGGAUAACAGGGAGUGCUUGUUCUGGAUAAGGAAAGACAAGACAGAGGAAAACACUGAUAUACAGAAAGGCCAGAAACAAGGCAGGAAUUAGAAGCAGGUUUCUAGCAAGUGGGGUAUUCCAGGUUUGGGACUGCACUUCCUGCUGAGGCAGCAGUAACAGCAACUGAAAAGCUUAUUGAGGGCUCAGCUGUUGCAUUCACACAGGAGUUUAUGCUCUAGAGGUACAGCAGGAGGACCCAGCUCAGCCCUUUUUUGUCCUCAGCCUCCCGUUUGGCAGAGCUCGGGCACCAAGCCAGGCAUCUGCACAGCAGGACCUGCCUGGUGACACAUCCUGCAACAACAUCCCAGUGUGGGAGGAAAAAACAUCUGGAAGCAAGGAUGCUAUUUUUAGGUUAUGGUCCUUCCAAGUGCUGGUAAAGCCAUGAAAAAUGACAACACAACUUUGGAGGAAGGCAGGUAGGGCCGUGUCAAGUCAGUGCAUCUCCCACAAACAGGACAACGUGAAGUCAAGGGAUCGUGAAGGCUGUGUGUUCCCAGCCCCAAACUGCAUGAAGCAAUACUCCACUUGCAUUCUUGGAAGGAUCCAGAAUCAACCAGCUUGGCUAGCCCAAGCCUGACUGCAUGCAGUCAUGUAAGUAUGUUUUAUUUACCCACAGCAGCAUUUUUGGGUGCUCUGGAGAACCAGGUGUUGAGGUAAUGCCUUUGCUGGGGCUGCCAUUAGCUGGUGUUGUUGAGAAAACACUGGUGAGCAGCUUUCAGGAUUGAGCCUGCUUUGUGCUUGCACUGUCUGAUGGUUUUAAUGCUUUUCUUUGUUGCUGUAGCUGGGAACUUCAUGCUCUUGCUCUGGUAAAAUAAAUUGUGCUGUUGGCCUUUUAA